rnacentral:tRNA from 1 species
CAUUAAGAAGCUUGUAGCACUAGCCUUUUAAGCUAGAGAUUGGAAGUUUAAAUAUUCCCUUAAUGA